UUUUGUGCAUACACUCCGUUUAUGGGCUUAAUGACAUUCAUUUGCUAAGGCCCUGGAAGAGAGAAUUGUUGGUGACCUAAUGUCUUCUCCGUAAGUACGGCGGCGAUAACGUUCGUUGUCGGUUUCCCUGUAACGCUUCGCGACUUAACUCACAUUAAGAGACUUUCAAUGCGUCGUUCUGUCUGCGAGAUCUGUAAUCUCCGUAUAUAUAUAUAGGUUGAGUGAUAUGUUUUGUGGUUCACGGCAGGAUAGAGUGAUAUACAAAAAAGGAAAAUGGAAAGCGUAGCCAUAUCAGAGCAUUUGAUCAAACUCCUCCGUCCUCCCUGUUGCACAGCCUUACGCAUUUGAUCUGGUGGGUUAUGUCAUCUACGACAUUGGAUGGAAGCCAUACCAGAGAAGAGUCUUCUACAACGGAACCAUUGAGGUACUCUGGAGGUCUUCUCACUGGUGAGUCUGUCUUUCUUUUAACACUUGGGAUUCCUCUCCUCCUCCUUCUUGGUCUAUGGGCAUACAGCUAAGUACAACGUCUCACCAAGAAAACCAAAAAGGUAUCAAAGGUGGAAGUAGGAACAAAGGUCUACGUACGCAUCACUUGACGAGUGGCUCGAGGGACAUUUGGCAAAGAUAUUGCAAGAAAAUCGAAGAUCAAGAAGAAGUGAGAAAAAGAGAGAGCCUUUUAAGCUCCUUCACAGUUCUUAUAGACUUUAAGCUUUUUGGCAUUUUGAAAGAGUUUUGGAUUUCAGUCUUGAGGAAGUUUAGUAUAGAUGUUACUCUCUCUUUUUCUUAUGAAGAUUCUCCUUCCGUCAUAGUAAUAAUGCUCAGAGUAAAUAAGUGGCUGCUUCAGCCCAAUUUCUCCGUAUUAUGUUUUAUUCUCUGUUUUGUCCUCUGUUUCUUUUUUGCCUUUGUUAUAUGUGUGUGUGUUCUUGAAAGAUCUAUGCAGAAUCAAAAACUAUCUUUUCUAAUCUUCAAGCUAAUAAAAAAGAUUAGUUACUUAUUUAA